CAAGAAGAGGCAACCAACUGCAAUGGAAAUGAAAAGCAGAAGUAACAAAAUGCCAAAUCAAGGCAAGAUCAAAUGCAUAGUACACAUGUAUGGGGAUGGAUCCAAAUCAAUGUCUUCAUCAACAACGUUUUCUCUUAGCUUACUGUAGAUCCUCACUGGUCUCUCAGGUAGUGUUACCUUGGAAUUACCCUGGAAUCCUUCAGAGCCUAACCUGUUCCUAAGUAGCUAUCUUUCAGAUGUCCUGUUUCCUAGAAAGAGAAACGACCUCAUGCUGCAAAGCAUGCUCUUGUCUUUCCAGUUUGCCCACUGGCUAAAUAAAAAUCCAAAACUAG
ensembl:lncRNA novel transcript, antisense to RFFL